rnacentral:rRNA from 1 species
CGCGCAGGCGGCCCGGCAAGUCGGGUGUGAAAUCUCGGGGCUCAACCCCGGAACUGCAUCCGAUACUGCCAGGCUAGAGGUAGGUAGGGGAGAUCGGAAUUCCUGGUGUAGCGGUGAAAUGCGCAGAUAUCAGGAGGAACACCGGUGGCGAAGGCGGAUCUCUGGGCCUUACCUGACGCUCAGGCGCGAAAGCUAGGGAGCGAACA